rnacentral:rRNA from 1 species
UAGGGAAUCUUGCACAAUGGGCGAAAGCCUGAUGCAGCCAUGCCGCGUGAGUGAAGAAGGCUCUAGGGUUGUAAAACUCUUUCAGCGGGGAAGAUAAUGACGGUACCCGCAGAAGAAGCCCCGGCUAACUCCGUGCCAGCAGCCGCGGUAAUACGGAGGGGGCUAGCGUUGUUCGGAAUUACUGGGCGUAAAGCGCGCGUAGGCGGACUAGUAAGUCAGUGGUGAAAGCCCGGGGCUCAACCUCGGAACUGCCUUUGAUACUGCUAGUCUUGAGUUCGAGAGAGGUGAGUGGAAUUUCUAGUGUAGAGGUGAAAUUCGUAGAUAUUAGAAAGAACACCAGUGGCGAAGGCGGCUCACUGGCUCGAUACUGACGCUGAGGUGCGAAAGCGUGGGGAGCAAACAGG